rnacentral:tRNA from 1 species
GUUUUUAUAGUGUAAUUAACACAUUACAUUUUCAUUGUAAAGUUGAAAUAAUUAUUUCUAAGAA